GAUGAAGAACGUAGCGAAAUGCGAUAAGUAAUGUGAAUUGCAGAAUUCAGUGAAUCAUCGAAUCUUUGAACGCACAUUGCGCCCCCUGGUAUUCCGGGGGGCAUGCCUGUCCGAGCGUCAUUGCUGCCCUCAAGCACGGCUUGUGUGUUGGGCCUCCGUCCUCCUCCCGGGGGACGGGCCCGAAAGGCAGCGGCGGCACCGCGUCCGGUCCUCGAGCGUAUGGGGCUUCGUCACCCGCUCUUGUAGGCCCGGCCGGCGCUUGCCGACACAUCAAUCUUUUUUCCAGGUUGACCUCGGAUCAGGUAGGGGUACCCGCUGAACUUAAGCAUAUCAAUAAGCGGAGGA
rnacentral:misc_RNA from 1 species